UACGAAGGGGGCUAGCGUUGCUCGGAAUGACUGGGCGUAAAGGGCGCGUAGCGGAUGGCACAGUCAGAUGUGAAAUUCCCGGCUUAACCUGGGGCUGCAUUUGAUACGUGUGAUCUAGAGUGAGGAAGAGGGUCGUGGAAUUCCCAGUGUAGAGGUGAAAUUCGUAGAUAUUGGGAAGAACACCGGUGGCGAAGGCGGCGACCUGUCCUUGACUGACGCUGAGGCGCGAAAGCGUGGGAGCAACAGG
rnacentral:rRNA from 1 species